GAUCCUCUUUCUCUACUGUUCGGAAAACAGUUUCAGACCAAUUUCCAAGAGAAAUGAAAAUGGCAACAUCGCCACUAAUAUGAUUUUGAAAACAAGAAGAAACGAGAUUGUCCAUUUUUGUCUGCUUUGUUUUUUUUUUUUCCCUCUCUCUCUUUUAUUGCAGAGAUGAAUAAUGCCAUGAAAACUGCCUCCAACAGCUGCCUUCACCUCUCUUCUAUUUCCUUCAGAGCUUCUCUCUUCCAUUCAACCCCCGUUUCAGAACGAAGGAGGAAAACCCAUUGGGAUUCUGGCAUUGGUUCUUUUGGAGAUUCAUCAAAGAUCAUGUACAUGGGUGGCCCAUCUGAUACAUGGCUCAGAUGUCCCACACGUGUCAGUUUGGGAUAUGUCUGCAUUUAUAGAGAUGCAACAACUAUGGAAAAAGAUUCAGGAAGGCCGAAGCAAGACGGACAUUGUUGCGCAAUGUCAGUGCGUAUGCAGACAACCUAUUUCAGAGCUGGAAGUCUGACAACAGUGAAUAUGACCAACCAUCCAGUAAAGGCACCUCAUGGUUCAAAACACAAUGGGCCAAUGGAACAAAAAGUUCCCAUGAAUCUCGUUGGGAAAGUUAUAGGAGCCGUCUUAAAGGAAGAAGAGGUUUCGAGUUCUGCUGCAGUGAUGAUGAUGAUGUCGAGACCAUAUUUCGAUCUUCAUUUGGAGGGGAGCGAUUCUUUUAUUGGUCCUUUAGCAGCUCAGAGAAUUUUCAGAGGAAUUCAUCGGGCUACUCUAACUAUAAAUGCUCUUGGAGGAGCAGGAUGGAAGAUGAAUAUGAUUCCACAGAUUAUAACAGUUGUGGAUCUGAUUUGGCUUCCGAUCGGCUUGCCCUUGGAUUGAGUGCUUCUGGUCCACUCAAACUUGAAGAAGUUAAAAGCGCAUAUCGAGCCUGUGCUCUAAGAUGGCAUCCAGAUCGUCAUCAAGGUUCUUCGAAGGUAUCAGCAGAGGAAAAAUUCAAGCAUUGUAGUGCGGCAUAUAAAUCUUUAUGUGACAAGUUGGCCAUGGAUUGAAGUAAAAAUUCCAGAACCGACCAGUUGAAUCCAAGAUCUGUUUUUCCUAGCAUGAUUGGAAAUCUUCUGUGCAUGAACGAAGAUGGGAGGAGAGGAUGGGCUGAGCAUGCGCUUAGGAGAUCGCAACCAUUGAUUUUUCUGAAUAAAGAGUAAUACAUAAGCAGUUCUAACAUGUUGUUCACGCCAACAGUAGCUCUUGAGGAUGUAAGAUUAUUGUUCUGAUAUUUAUAGAAUUCAUGGAUGGGAUGGACGCCAUUGUAUUUCCAUUGAAUUGAGUGAAAUAGGAAAUGUAAUGUAAUAUGCUCAGCUAAGCAAUGUGGAUUAUUUUUAUUUUU